AGAUUUAUCUGCACUGACAGCCACCCCCCUUACACACACACACUCUCUCUUUCUCAUUCUCCUUUCCCUCCUCUCCAUCUCCCUAUUGCAUUGUGUCUGACUGAUUUUCAGAGCACCUUCGCUGUUUCCCCCUUCUCGUUCCCUUCUCAUAAAAUAUCUAGACAGGAAGGAGGUGGCUGCAGAGGCUGAACAAUCUCAUAUUCUGCCUGCAAUGUCAUCGUUUCUUUCCCCCAUUUUAGGGGGCUGAAGUUGCCCAGCAAGGGAUGCAGAGGAGCUGGAAAAGAAGGGGGGAGCUCUCCAGAGGCAGCUGCGGUCAGGGGCAGGGACUGCCGCCAGAUGUGCCUGCCUUUCUGGGCUUUGAUGAGAAAGGGGCAGCAGGAGGAAAUAUUGGGAGACAAAAGCCCCGGUUUAAAUGAUCAUUUUCUUUAUUUAACAUGGCAGCAGACACUCUCUGCGUAGGAUCAUCAUGCCGAGCAUAAACUGGACUUUCCCACUUGCCUGGCAGGAGUCACACAGAUCCCUGCGUGCUAAAUGAACAUCUGAGGUUUGAGAUGGGGCCCAAGAUGCUUUUCUGACAAGUUUCCUGGUGAUGCAAUGUUGCUGUUGGGGAAACCUCCAUUUGACCCUUGAAUCCUGACUAUUGGAGAAACAGCACCAUAUUUUGGAUACUGAUUCAGACCAUAUACAGCCUUCUGGAGAAUCUUGCCCCAGUCCUGAAAGGUAUUUCUAUUCAUCUAGUUGGUGCUAUAACUGAGUCUUCAAAAGACAAUUCCACUGUUCUAUCAAGAAAGCUGCUUCAGGAUGGUGGGAAAUAUGGUUUUGGUAUCAGGAUGAUGCUGGCAUCAUAAAAUGAGUAUUUUUCUUCAGACUUCAGACUGCUGUGCUGGAAGCAAGAAUUUCAAGCAUUGGAUCUUAGCUUGCUGGGCUCCAUAGGGGUGGGAUCCACUGAGCUAGACCACUUGGCUCCCUGGCUUCAGCCCCCUUCCAGAUGUCCUUGGCGUGUACACCCUGUGGAAUCUGGUUCAUCUUCAAUCUGUCAGAAGGCAUCAGAGGUGGUUUUGACUCCUUAUGUCUUGGACCUGUGCACAAAAAGUGUAAAAUGGAUGGAACAUCAGACAGCUCAUUAUAGAGACAAGUAAGCUCCAGUUCCAAAGUUGGUUGACAGAACAAGUCAUGACCUUGUGUGGAGGAAAAUGAGAUCCCGAGUGAAGUCUACAAUGUCAUUGACUCUGAAGAAGGACUCAGAGACCCAUUGGUGUUUAAUGACCCUUACUGGCCUAUGCAAUGGAAACUGAUCUUGAGUGUGCCUUAAAAUUCCAUUUCAUGGAGAACUGUGCGUGGUUGAAUUUUGAUUGAUUACUCAAUUAACUGAUGUAUUGGUAGAGUGAUUAAGAAAGAAGACUUUGGGAUCAGACCAACCUGGUUUUGAAUUCAAGCUCAGCAACUUACUAGGUAAGGAGGAGAAAAGAAAGAAGGAAAAAUUGGAAAGAUAAAUGGGGUCUUUCCAGUGAAGGCUCAAUUUUCCUACAUAAUUAAGAGUUUGGAAUUCGGGCAAUAUCAAGAACCACAUCUGUCCUGAAAUCAAUUAUCUCUGUUUGAAACACAAGAAAUAAGAAGACCAUUUUGAGAAGAACAGAGAGUAGCCUUAAGAAAAUCCCUGUCGCAAGCACUCUGGGAUUUGGACUCAAAUGCUAAUUAUACAGAACCACUUGGGUGCCCAGCUGCUGUCCAUUCUCUACACUUAUCCCACCUGAUGGAAGGCUGUUAAGAAAAACAUCACUGCAAUGCCUAAUAAACAGACAUGGGUCCCAGACCCAAUAAGAGUGAAACCAUCCCCCUAUUUAAAUGAAAUUAUGGCUGAUGAGAAAGACAAAUUAAUUUCUCUGUCCCUAGUAUUACACAAAACUUUGGAUGCUGCCAUUGUUACAAUUUUAUUUUCCCCAGGAGCUCAGAGUCCCACCUUCAUUCUUUUUGUUUAAUGCUUAAGCUUGCCUGUCCACCUAUGGAAGACUAGA
rnacentral:lncRNA from 1 species